rnacentral:rRNA from 1 species
ACCAAAUUCUCAACGAUGGAUAUCUUGGUUCCCGUAACGAUGAAGAACGCAGCGAAGUGCGAUAAGCAAUGCGAAUUGCAGAACCGUGAGUCAUCAGAUCUUUGAACGCAACUGGCGCUGAUUGGCUCUCCAGUCAGCAUGCUUGUUUCAGUG